UACAGAGACUGCAAGCGUUAUUCGGAGUUACUGGGCGUAAAGGGUGUGUAGGCGGUUGUUUAAGUUUGGUGUGAAAUCUCCCGGCUCAACUGGGAGGGUGCGCCGAAUACUGAAUGACUUCGAGUGCGGGAGAGGAGAGUGGAAUUCCUGGUGUAGCGGUGAAAUGCGUAGAUAUCAGGAGGAACACCGGUGGUGUAGACGGCUCUCUGGACCGUAACUGACGCUGAGACACGAAAGCGUGGGUAGCAAACAGG
rnacentral:rRNA from 1 species